CUACGGGGUGCUCCAGUGGGGAAUUUUGGACAAUGGGCGCAAGCCUGAUCCAGCCAUUCCGCGUGAGUGAAGAAGGCCUUCGGGUUGUAAAGCUCUUUCGCAAGGGAAGAAAACUUAUCCUCUAACAUAGGGUGAGGUUGACGGUACCUUGAUAAGAAGCACCGGCUAACUACGUGCCAGCAGCCGCGGUAAUACGUAGGGUGCGAGCGUUAAUCGGAAUUACUGGGCGUAAAGCGUGCGCAGGCUGUUUUGUAAGUCAGAUGUGAAAUCCCCGAGCUCAACUUGGGAACUGCGUUUGAAACUACAAGACUGGAAUAUGGCAGAGGGGGGUAGAAUUACAUGUGUAGCAGUGAAAUGCGUAGAGAUGUGGAGGAAUACCAAUGGCGAAGGCAGCCCCCUGGGAUAAUAUUGACGCUCAUGCACGAAAGCGUGGGGAGCAAACAGGAUUAGAUACCCCAGUAGUC
rnacentral:rRNA from 1 species